GGGUGUAGGAGCUACUUGGUGGCAGUGUCACCCCAUUGUUCCCUUCCUCCGUCACUGUUCCUGAAGCUGUGCACAUGGCUGAAGAGGCUGAAUUCCACAAGAGAGGACAGUGCUUUGGCCAAGGGUAAGUAAGAAGCCCUAUGCUCCUGCUAGAAUCUCCAAAUGAGCUUGCAAGAUUCCAGAGGUUGAGUUUGUAACCUGUGCCGUGUACCUCGGGCUGAUGGAUGGUGCUUUAGAUUUUAGAUUCUGGAAUAUUUACAUACCUGUAAUGAAAUAU
ensembl:misc_RNA Gm22277 predicted gene, 22277